GAUGAACGCUGGCGGCGUGCCUAAUACAUGCAAGUCGAGCGGAGCGGCGGACGGGUGAGUAAUGCCUAGGAAUCGGCCUGGUCGUGGGGGAGAACGUCAGGAAACGGACGCUAAUACCACAUACUAUCAGAUGAGCCUAGGUCGGAUUAGCUAGUUGGUGGUGUAAAGGCAUACCAAGGCGACGAUCCGUAACUGGUGUGAGAGGAUGAUAAGUCACACUGGAACUGAGACACGGUCCAGACUCCGACGGGAGGCAGCAGUGGGGAUUAUUGGACAAGGGGCGAAAGCCUGAUCCAGCCAUGCCGCGUGUGUGAAGAAGGUCUUCGGAUUGUAAAGCACUUUAAGUUGGGAGGCGUUACCAACAGAAUAAGCACCGGCUAACUUCGUGCCAGCAGCCGCGGUAAUUC
rnacentral:rRNA from 1 species